rnacentral:rRNA from 1 species
GACGAACGCUGGCGGCGUGCUUAACACAUGCAAGUCGAACGGAAAGGCCCUGCUUUUGUGGGGUGCUCGUUUGGCGAACGGGUGAGUAACACGUGAGUAACCUGCCCUUGACUUUGGGAUAACUUCAGGAAACUGGGGCUAAUACCGGAUAUGAGCUCCUGCUGCAUGGGGGGGGAUGGUAAGAUUCGGCGGUUUGGGCUGGACUCGAUGCUUAUCCGCUUGUUGGUGGGGUAGUGGCUUACCACGGCUUUGACGGGUAGCCGGCCUGAGAGGGUGGCCGGCCACAUUGGGCCUGCGAGACGGCCCAGACUCCUACGGGCGGCAGAAGUCGGAAAUCUUGCACAAUGGGCGGAAGCCUGAUGCAGCAACGCCGCGUGCGUGAUGACGUCCUUCGGGUUGUAAACCGAUUUCGACUGUGCCGAACAGUGAGUGACGGUACUGGGUCAAGAAGCACCGGCUAACUACGUG